rnacentral:ribozyme from 1 species
UUCGUCGUCUGCCUAAAUGACGCGUGGUGCGGUGAAUAUCCCGCGCUUGCGCUGCCGUUACGCUCGUACUCGCAAAACUCAUCAUCGUUCACUUCCUUAGUUU